AACUUAAACAUCAAUUCUUAAAAUAAAUAUUAAUUUAUUAUAUUCAAAAAAAAUAAAACUUUAAAUUUAAAUCAUAAACUACAAAUAGAAAAAAUAAGACAAAAAAAAGGAAAAUUUCUUUUGGCCAAGUAGAGCCACAUAAACCACAAAAUAAAACAUAACUAUUAAAUAUACUAAACAUAUAAACUACGUUAAAAUUCUAAACUAAGUUUAUAUGAAAAAUUAAUUAAAAAGAAAGAUGAAACUUUCCGACCAAUCAGAAGCAGAUACCAGAAUAACCUCAUGAGCUGUUAGAUUACCCUAAAUCUAAGGGUGCAGAUUUGUUCUUCUCCCUCUCUCUCUCUGUCGACAGAUCUUCCUCGUUCUUUUCUCUUUUUUUUUGUAUGUCAUCUUCUCUUCUCUUCUCCUCUUCCUCAAGACAUAUGAAGAUAAAGAGACUCGCUGGUGACGAAGCUCCAGACGCUCACCGGAGAUGAACCCACGGCGGAGCUCAAGGUCGCCGUCACGCCAUCUUCUCAAUCUCGCUGUCACUCCAUCUACUCUAGCUUGCCGUUAAUCGAGCCUAACAGAGAGGAGGAAGAUUCUUCCCUAAUCUCCAUUAUUCUUUGAUCUGAUGUGUUUAUGCUGAUCUGAGAAGGUGGUUGUGUGAGUCGGUGGUGGCGUGAUGAAUCAGUAGUCUCCUCCUCCUCGGUGACAGAGCGUUAGAGCGUGGAGGAGGCAGAAAAGCUACGCCUCUGGUUCAGACCAGUCUUCAUUCUGGUGAUGAAGAUGGUGUAGCAGUCUAGUGUCCUCUCUGGUCGUCUUUUUUCGCAGCUGCAACGGUGGUUGCCUCAGUCGCCGUCAAUGUGUUAGGAAGAAGACGAAGCUUGAAGGUGGAGGAAGCAACAAGCUGUUUAGGUUUAGUUUUUUUUUUAGAAUUGGUUUAGUGUUAACCGAGGGAAAUUGUGCUGGUUUGAUUUUAUUUUCUAAUUUUUGGCUUAGUUUUGUAAACCAAAGUUUAUUUGUAAACCCAUUUUAAUUUAUAAAUAAAAUUUAUUUUA